GAGAGUGGGUAGUCCGCACGAGCGCACCCUAUCCUUAGUUGCCAGCACAUAUGGUGGGGACUCUAAGGAGACUGCCUGGGAUAACCAGGAGGAAGGUGGGGAUGAUGUCAAGUCAGUAUGUCCCUUAUGUCCAGGGUCUACACACGUGUUACAAUGGUUGGUACAGAGGGCAGCUAAGCCGCAAGGUGGAGCCAAUCCCCCAAAACCAACCCCAGUUCGGAUUGGAGUCUGCAACUCGACUCCAUGAAGCAGGAAUCGCUAGUAAUCGUGGAUCAGAACGCCACGGUGAAUACGUUCCCGGGUCUUGUACACACCGCCCGUCACGCCAUGGAAGUCAGUAAUACCCGAAUCGAGUGGCCCAACCUUAGGGAGGGAGCUCGUCAAGGUGAGACUGGUAACUGGGGUGAAGUCGUAACAAGGUAGCCGUACCGGAAGGUGCGGCUGGAUCACCUCCUUUC
rnacentral:rRNA from 1 species